GAGAGAAGGAGAAAAAGGAAGACACCGGAGACCACCCACUCUUCCCAGUCACAGAUUAAGAAGGAAAGAAAGAUACAUAAAAUAAAGAAAGGAGAAUGAAGGCAUCCAACUAAGGAAUAUGAAGACCACUGGACAAAUGAGACAUUUGAAGAAAAAGAACAAAUCAUCCAGAGAAAAUGUCCCAAAAAAAGAUGAACCAUGACCAUUCCUAACAGUGGCCUCUGGAGUCUCCAAAGGGAUGAUGGGGCCCCACGAUGACAAUUCCACCUGGAUUGGGGUAACCCCGUAAGCUGACAAACACCACCCACAGAUCAGCUUUGGACUACAAACUGCUCAGGACAAUUUCAAGGCAGCUGGCUGAGGUGGUCCAGCCUCACAGACUCCUCCAGCCAGGACUUCAGAUGGGCCCUGCACUUUCUCAUCACACAGAGACUGACGACAAACCAUACAGCUAGCUCUCCCAGGACUUGACCAUUAUUUCAAUUGUAUCAGGGCCCCCUAAAGAUGCUGUUGCCUCCAGACAGCAGUAAGUAACUUUAAGAACACGAUGUCCACAUUCCCAAGAGGUAGGGUGGGAAGUUUUUGGUUGAUCAGUGGAUUAUGGAUAUUUGUCAUCCUUUAGGGCAGUUGGUUACAAGUUUCCAUUGGUAAUAGUCAAUAAGAAAGUUAAAUAAAGGAGAUUAGAUUCUGUUCUGAAGAGAAAAAGGGGGUAUAGAAAUGAUAGGAUAGAAGGGCAUAUUAUUCGAUCUACUUUUAAGCCAAAAAAAGCAACUACUAGUCUUGAAUAUUUUAUAUUCAUAUGGAUUUUUGUAUGUUGAUACAAAUUUGAGGUUAUACUGUAUAUAUGUUUCCAGUCUU